rnacentral:rRNA from 1 species
UGGGGAAUAUUGGACAAUGGGCGAAAGCCUGAUCCAGCCAUGCCGCGUGAGUGAUGAAGGCCUUAGGGUUGUAAAGCUCUUUCGGCGGGGACGAUAAUGACGGUACCCGCAGAAGAAGCCCCGGCUAACUUCGUGCCAGCAGCCGCGGUAAUACGAAGGGGGCUAGCGUUGUUCGGAAUCACUGGGCGUAAAGCGCAUGCAGGCGGAUCGUUAAGUGAGGGGUGAAAUCCCAAGGCUCAACCUUGGAACUGCCUUUCAUACUGGCGAUCUUGAGUCCGGGAGAGGUGAGUGGAAUUCCGAGUGUAGAGGUGAAAUUCGUAGAUAUUCGGAAGAACACCAGUGGCGAAGGCGGCUCACUGGCCCGGUACUGACGCUGAGAUGCGAAAGCGUGGGGAGCAAACAGGAUUAGAUACCCCCGUAGUCC